GCCGUUGUAGCUCAGUUGGUAGAGCAAUUGAUUCGUAAUCAAGAGGUCGGAGGUUCGACUCCUCUCAGCGGCACCA
rnacentral:tRNA from 2 species